GUGCAAGGCGGAGCUACCAUGCAGUCGAGCGGCAGCACAGAGGAACUUGUUCCUUGGGUGGCGAGCGGCGGACGGGUGAGUAAUGCCUGGGAAAUUGCCCGGUAGAGGGGGAUAACCAUUGGAAACGAUGGCUAAUACCGCAUAACCUCACAAGGAACAAAAGGCUAGGGGAACUUCUUAGGGCCCUUUGCGCUUACCGGGAAUAAUGUCCCCAGGUGGGGAAUUAAGCUUAGUUGGGUGAGGGUAAAGGGCUUCCAUCCAAGGCGGACGGAUCCCCUAGUCUGGUUCGGAAAGGAUGAUUCAGCCACCACUGGAAAUUGGAGACACCGGUCCCAGAAUUCCUACGGGAAGGCAGCCAGUGGGGGAAUAUUGGCACCAAUGGGCGCCAAGCCUGGAUGCAAACCAUGCCGCCGUGUAUGAAGAAAGGCCCUCGGGGUUGUAAAAGUACUUUCCAGUAGGGAAGGAAAGGUGGUUUAAGUUUAAUACCCUUAAUCAUUUGGACGUUACCUACAGAAAGAAGCACCCGGCUAAAUUCCGUGCCAGCAGCCGCGGUUAAUACGGAGGGGUGCAAGCGUUAAUCGGAAUUACUGGGCGUAAAGCGCAUGCAGGUGGUUUGUUAAGUCAGAUGUGAAAGCCCUGGGCUCAACCUAGGAAUCGCAUUUGAAACUGACAAGCUAGAGUACUGUAGAGGGGGGUAGAAUUUCAGGUGUAGCGGUGAAAUGCGUAGAGAUCUGAAGGAAUACCGGUGGCGAAGGCGGCCCCCUGGACAGAUACUGACACUCAGAUGCGAAAGCGUGGGGAGCAAACAGGAUUAGAUACCCUGGUAGUCCACGCCGUAAACGAUGUCUACUUGGAGGUUGUGACCUAGAGUCGUGGCUUUCGGAGCUAACGCGUUAAGUAGACCGCCUGGGGAGUACGGUCGCAAGAUUAAAACUCAAAUGAAUUGACGGGGGCCCGCACAAGCGGUGGAGCAUGUGGUUUAAUUCGAUGCAACGCGAAGAACCUUACCUACUCUUGACAUCCAGAGAAUCUAGCGGAAGACGCUUGAAGUGCCUUCGGGGAGCUCUGAAAACAGGUGCUGCAUGGCUGUCGUCCACCUCCUGUUGUGAAAAUGUUGGGUUAAGUCCCCGCAACGAGCGCAACCCCUUAUCCUUGGUUUGCCAGCACCGUAAUGGGUGGGGAACUCCAAGGUAAAACUGCCGGUUGAAUAAACCCGGAAGGAAGGUGGGGGGACGACCUUCAAGUCAUUCAUGGGCCCUUUACAAAUUAGGGAUUAACAACACGUGCUAAAAAUGGCCGUUAAUAAAGAGGGCAGCGACCCCUAUCCCCCUAGGUAGGAGCGAAUCUCACAAAGUACGUCGUAGUCCGGAUUGGAGUCUGCAACUCGACUCCAUGAAGUCGGAAUCGCUAGUAAUCGCAAAUCAGAAUGUUGCGGUGAAUACGUUCCCGGGCCUUGUACACACCGCCCGUCACACCAUGGGAGUGGGCUGCAAAAGAAGCAGGUAGUUUAACCUUCGGGAGGACGCUGCCACCUUUGUCAAUGGUG
rnacentral:rRNA from 1 species